CCUACGGGAGGCAGCAGUGGGGAAUAUUGCACAAUGGGGGAAACCCUGAUGCAGCGACGCCGCGUGAGUGAAGAAGUAAUUCGUUAUGUAAAGCUCUAUCAGCAGGGAAGAAAAUGACGGUACCUGAGUAAGAAGCCCCGGCAAACUACGUGCCAGCAGCCGCGGUAAUACGUAGGGGGCAAGCGUUAUCCGGAUUUACUGGGUGAAAAGGGAGCGUAGACGGCAGUGCAAGUCUGGGGUGAAGGGGGGGGGCUCAACCCCCGGACUGCUCUGGAAACUGUACGGCUGGAGUGCAGGAGGGGUAAGUGGAAUUCCAGUGUAGCGGUGAAAUGCGUAGAUAUCAGGAGGAACACCGGUGGCGAAGGCGGCCUGCUGGACUGCGACUGACGUUGAGGCCCGAAAGCGUGGGGAGCAAACAGGAUUAGAUACCCGUGUAGUC
rnacentral:rRNA from 1 species